rnacentral:rRNA from 1 species
UGGGGAAUAUUGCACAAUGGGCGCAUGCCUGAUGCAGCCAUGCCGCGUGUGUGAAGAAGGCCUUCGGGUUGUAAAGCACUUUCAGCGGGGAGGAAGGCGAUAAGGUUAAUAACCUUGUCGAUUGACGUUACCCGCAGAAGAAGCACCGGCUAACUCCGUGCCAGCAGCCGCGGUAAUACGGAGGGUGCAAGCGUUAAUCGGAAUUACUGGGCGUAAAGCGCACGCAGGCGGUCUGUCAAGUCGGAUGUGAAAUCCCCGGGCUCAACCUGGGAACUGCAUUCGAAACUGGCAGGCUAGAGUCUUGUAGAGGGGGGUAGAAUUCCAGGUGUAGCGGUGAAAUGCGUAGAGAGCUGGAGGAAUACCGGUGGCGAAGGCGGCCCCCUGGACAAAGACUGACGCUCAGGUGCGAAAGCGUGGGGAGCAAACAGG